CCCAAGGAGAUGCAGGACAUCAUGGCAAAAGGGUGUGGCAGAGAAACACAGCUCAAGAUGUGUCAUCCAGGAAGUAGAGAGAGAGAGAGAGAGUUUCACUCACCAAGGACAAAAUAUAAACCCAAAGACACACUCCCAGUGACCUACUUCCUACAGCCAAAACCUACCAGCCUGCAAUUACUUCCCAGUUAAUCCACAUCAGUUAAUGAAUCCACUGAGCAGGUUAUACGUCUCAUAAUCUAAUCAUUUCACCUCUGAAAAUUCUUGCAUUGUUUCCCAUGUGGCUUUUGGGGGACUCCUCAUAUCUAAAUUAUAACAGGCAGUUUCUCAAAAUCUUAAAGACAGAGUUAUCAUAAGACCCAGAAAUUCCACCCUUAGGGGUACUCAAGAGAGAAUUGAAAAUGCAUGCCCUCACAAAAACCAGCAUACAAAUACUUAUAGCAGCACCAUUCCCAAAUACCUCAAAGAGGAAACAGUACAACUGUCCAUCAACUGAUUAUUGGAUAUUUAAAAAUGUACUGUACCCAUGCAACCAGUUCUAAAAAUGAAUGAAGCACUAAUUCAUGCUACAGGGAUGAAAUUCUUGCCAAGUGCAAGAAGUCAGACACCAAAAGUAGCGUAUUAUAUAACUCUAUUUGGUGUCUAUAAUAGGCAAAUCCAAAGAGACAGAAAGUAGAUUAAUGACUUCCAGAGGAUUGGGGGAGACAAGACAGUGAAUAACUGCUAAUGGGCCCAUGGUUUCCUUUGAGGGUGAUGAAAAGGUAAAAUUAGAUAGUGGUGCUAGUUACACAACUCUGAAUAUACCAAAACCCUCUGAAUUAUAUACUAGAAAAGAGUACAUUUUAUGUUAUAUAAAUUAUAUCUCAAUGAAGAUAUUAUUUUUAAAAAGCAAAUGACAUUCAGACUACAUGGAGUAUUACGAGGACUUAGUAACAACAAGGAGGAACAGAUUUAGGAGGAAGGUGAGUUUGAGGCAUACUAAAAGGAAGACAUUUAUGAAACGUUUAGGUAGAAAUAUCUGGAAACGUUCACCUGAAGCUUUAAGAGAGGAAGACUUGAGUAUUGUCUAUGAGAAAGGACUAGAACCAUGGGUGUGGAGAAAACUCAGUGAGAAAGUGAAAAGAGAAGAGGGCAAGUUCAAGAUGAAACCUGGAGAAAUGUUAAAAGAAAACAUCAAAGGAAAGAACAGAAUACCAGAAAGAAAAGCUAUUUGAAGAAAACCCUGGAAAGUAUAAAGAACCGAAAUCUAAAGCUAGCAUGGCAGUGCCCAGAGGUAGGUCAGGAAGAGAUGAACCAGGAUGAGUCCCCACAGAUGAGUUCACCAUAAACACUGAAGGAAGGGUUAAGGAUGUUUGGUUUAUACAGAAGAACAAUGGGAAGCCAUUAAACAGGGAGAGUCAUAAUUUGAUUUGCAUUUUUAAAUGAUCACUCUAGCUAUAGUAUGGAGGCUGAUUUGGAGGGGUUUCACCAAAACCAAUCCUGAUACGAGAUAUUAACUUGGAGUAGGAUGGUGAUGGUGUAGUUGAAGAGAUCCGAGAAGGAUUUCAAAGAUUACCCAGGAACUUGGUGAGGAUAGAAUAUGGAUGGUGGAGGAGAGGCAUGGGUCAAGGGAUGUCUCAUUUUCUGCCUUAUUUUUACAUGGAUACUGGGACCUUUGGGAUAGAAAAUGAAUCCAUUAUCGGGGAAGGGGUGGGAGAUGGUGACUACAAGAUCCAAGCAGAGCUAUUGAGAACAGAGUUGUACAUAAAGACUGCUGCCCGGCAGAGAGCCCUGAGCUGAAGGUGAUGAUGUAGAAGUUGUCAUCAUUCAGCUGAUCACUGGAAUCGUGGAAUGAAUGAAGUUGAUUAGGGAGAGAGAACAGAGUGAGAAGUAAACAAGACACAUGUCAGACCACAAGAUUAAUGAUCACAAUGAACAUGUAGAACACCAAAAUGGAACUGUCAUGUUGAGGAAAGUGAGCCCUGAAAGAGAGAGGAAGAGUUGGUCAGACCAAUAAAAGAACAUC
rnacentral:lncRNA from 1 species